GACGAACGCUGGCGGCGUGCCUAAUACAUGCAAGUCGAGCGAAGAUUUUCUGUUUCUUGCACUAGUAAAACUUAGCGGCGAACGGGAGGGUAACACGUAAAGAACCUGCCUCAUAGCCUGGGACAACUAUUGGAAACGAAAGCUAAUACCGUAUAACAGUAUUUCUCACAUUAGAGACAUUUAAGAGUUACUUAUGCUAACACUAUGAGAUGGCUUUGCGGUGCAUUAGCUAGUUUGUGGGGUUAAGGCCCACCAAAGCGACGACGCAUAGCCGACCUGAGAGGGUGAGCGGCCACAGUGGGACUGGGACAGGGCUCAGACUCAGACUGCAGGCAGCAGUAGGGAAGGGUCAGAAAUGGGCGAAAGCCUGACGGAGCAGCGCCGCGGGAGUGAAGAAGGAGUUCGGCUCGGAAAGCUCAAUUGUUAGGGAAGAAGGGAUAGGUAGUAACUAGACAGGUAAGAGACGGUAGCUAACCAGAAAGCCACGGCUAACUACGUG
rnacentral:rRNA from 1 species